rnacentral:pre_miRNA from 1 species
GGGCAUCUGCUGACAUGGGGGCCAAAGUCAGGCGCCAGGCAGCGGGCACUUUGCAUCUUAUCUCCGGAACAUUGAUCCUCCUUGACAGCCUUGGGUGUCAG